GAACCAUUUGUGUUGAAUCUUUGUAAGUCUAUAUAAACCAUUGUAUUGAUUCUUUGUCAAGCAAGGCACUUCUACAUUUUAAGAAAACAUUUCAUUCUCCGACAGUCUUUCACUCCCUCUCUCUCUCUCUCUUACAUCUCCUCUUACAUUACUGAACUUUCCCAUUUCCAGCAAUCUUUUUUUCUGGUCGAAUUCUAAUCUCAUAAAAGAAAACCAUGAACGUUGAUUCUGGUCAUCGCCCUCAGCAGUGGUCGCAUGGUUUUUGUAAGUGUGGAGGAAGUUUGGGUACAUGUAAGAUAUAAAUUCUCUCUCCAGCCAAAAUUCACUUUGUCUAUUAUAGUUACCUGACAAGUUAAAUUUAUACCAAUUGGUGAAAUUGAUGAAGAGAAUUCAUGCAUUAUUAUUAAUAAUGUGAUAUUUGGUUAUGUGAUUGUAUGUCACUUAAUUUAGUUAUAUCAAUUUACCAUGAAAAGGUUUAUGUGCCUACUGAGUUGUGGUUUCGCUAACCCCCUAACAAAUUUUGCAAGUACUAAACCUGAAAUUUAGGACUUGUGAUGAUUUUGGCUUGUUUAUAGAGUGCAUUGUAUGCAUAGCUUGUGGUUGAAUAAUGAGCUACUCUUUUAAUGAACUCUUGAGUAAUUCUAACUUGUAAAAUAAAUGUAAAAAUGUAAGAUUUCGGAUGUUGUUGUUUCCGUUGAAUAUUCUAUGUGAAAUAUUUAUUUAUUUAAAUGUUCUUCACAUUUUAGUUAUAUCUUUUAUUAAAUUCUAUAAUUAAAGUGUGAAUCACGUCUUAAUCCAAAAUUACGUAAAUCCGUGGAUUGGGGUGUGACAACUUUAGCAGACAAAGGCGUAUUAACAAAUUUUUUUUUUUUUAAAUUACUCAGUUUCAGGAAUAAAUGGUUAAUUUGUAUUCUUUAUGUUUGAAGAUUAAUAAUGUUGACAAGUGUGUGCUUAAGAGAGGGUGUCUCCCUAUCAUGCCCCGGAUUCAAGGUACGGUGGAAAAAAAAAACCCCGGUGCCCUGUGUAUGAGGAAAUUGAAAAAAAAAAAAAAAGCUAAAAUAGGGUUUAAAAUAAACUUCUCUUAUAAAAAUAGCUUCAAAAUCAUACAAGAGUACAAGAAAUAAAUAAAGUUCUAUCACUCUUAUCUAAUUCAACUUCGGCUCACCUACCACCCGUCUUUUGGGUUUUACAAUUGCAAGGUCUAUAAAGGGGUGAGUAAAAUCACAGCUCAGUAGGGACAUAAACUUUUUCACAGUAAAUUGAUAUAACUAAAUUAAGUGACAUGCAAUCACAUAACAAAUGAAAGAUAAUAAUGCAUGAAUGAGCUUCAAUUCUACCCAAUCCAUUAAUCUAUAUAAUAUCAAAUUUGCAUGUUCCAUACCAUGCAUUUUACCACUGUAAUUCUGAAUGCUUCAUUAUAUAAACUAACACCCCAUCCCAAUCAUCCCAUAAUUCAUCUUUUGCUAGUCCUCUUGUCUAAGUCAUGAAUCUUCAAGCCCAAAUCACCAAAUCGACAAUUAUACCGCUAAUAUCCUAAUCUAAUGUGCACACAGGCUUGCCUGAACUUGGUCCCUACAAUGAUUAGACUCAACAACACAAAAGAUCCUUCCCAUUAUCCUCUUUUCCAUUAUUUCUUUAUUAAUCUGAGAAUUCCAACCAUCACCGAUAACAUAUGAACAUGUCAAUAUUAAUAAAAUAAUAUAAUGAUAAUUAACAACAUGUAAACACCCAAUAUCAAGAACGUUAAUCAAUUAAUAAUAUCAAGUAUAAUAUAGUUCUCACGAAAUUUAAUUAAAUCAAUUUUUAUAAAAGCUCCCCCAGAAACCCCCAACCUCGAUUCCAAAGCAUAACUCCAAAUUAGUAAAACACAAGCAAAGCUCUCUAUCUCCUCCAAUAUCAUAUUUCCUUGCAUCUCUCUUUCACUUUGUCUUAAAGAACUAUCAAAGAAUAUGAACGCAAGGCUGCCAGCUAUAAGCAGGAAAUGACAAUUGACAACCCACUAGGUGAUAGUGCUUGUAGGUUGACUAUAGUAAAGUGACGUGUCCAACAAUAGCAUGAUCAAAGUUGAUCAACUCAUAAACUUAGCAUUUAGUUUUGCAUGCAGGAGGUGAUAAGAGAAAGACGUAUCUAAAUAGUUUUGCAUGCUACGUAUUAUUAUAAAAGUAUAACAAACAAGUAAGUAUUAUUAUAAAAAUGAAAUAAUUUGACAAUACAUGCUUUGCACGUUGUAGAACUUAAAGAUAACACAACAUGCAUGUUUGCGUUGCGAAAUAAGGACCACCUAUAAUAUUGUGUUCCAGCUGCAAGUGGAUAAGGAUAACACAACAUGCAUGUUUGUCCUCUAGGGUUUCGUCUAGUACUAGUAGGGUCUUACCCAGUAUAUACUGAUUCUUUGUAAGUGGAUAUAAACCAUUUGUAUUUAUUCUUUGUAAGUCUAUAUAAACCAUUGUAUUGAUUCUUUGUCAAGCAAGGCACUUGUACAUUUUUCGAAAGCAUUUCAUUCUCCGACCGUCUCUCUCUCUCUCUCUCUCUCUCUCUCUCUCUCUCUCUCUCUCUCUCUCUCUCUCUCUCUCUCUCUCUCUCUCUCUUCUCUUACAUUACUGAAACUUUUCCAUCUCUCUCUCUCUCUCUUCUCUUACAUUACUGAAACUUUUCCAUUUCCAGCAAUCUUUUUUUUUUAGUCGACUUCUAAGCUCAUAAAAGAAAACCAUGAACGUUGAUUAUGGUCAUCACCCUCAGCAGUGGUCG
rnacentral:lncRNA from 1 species